GACGAACGCUGGCGGCGUGCCUAAUACAUGCAAGUCGAACGCAGUGGGGACGGGUGAGUAACACGUGGGUAACCUCCCAUCAGAGGGGAUAACACUUGGAAACAGGUGCUAAACAGAAACUGAUGGAUGGAACCGCGGUGCAUUAGCUAGUUGGUGAGGUAACGGCGCACCAAGGCCACGAUGCAUAGCCGACCGUAGCGGGGUAUCGGCCACCCCUGGACUGAUGCCGGGCCCAGACUCCUACGGGAGGCAGCAGUAGCGAAUCUUCGGCAAUGGACGAAAGUCUGACCGAGCAACGCCGCGUGAGUGAAGAAGGUUUUCGGAUCGUAAAACUCUGUUGUUAGAGAAGCGGUAUCUAACCAGAAAGCCACGGCUAACUACGUGCCAGCAGCCGCGGUAAUUC
rnacentral:rRNA from 1 species